rnacentral:rRNA from 1 species
UACAGAGGGUGCGAGCGUUAAUCGGAAUUACUGGGCGUAAAGCGCACGUAGGUGGUUUAGUAAGUCGGAUGUGAAAUCCCCGGGCUUAACCUGGGAACUGCAUUCGAAACUGCUUUACUAGAGUAUGGGAGAGGACAGUGGAAUUUCAGGUGUAGCGGUGAAAUGCGUAGAUAUCUGAAGGAACAUCAGUGGCGAAAGCGACUGUCUGGACUAAUACUGACGCUCAUGUGCGAAAGCGUGGGGAGCAAACAGG